CAGUGCACAAGCCAACAAGCCAACGCCCCCCAAGACAGACAUUGUUCUGAUGGGAUUCUGGAUCUUUCAGAUCAGUUUGAGAAACGUCUUUCAUCGUGUCAGCUGGGUGCUGCUCUUUGUCUUUUACACUUUGUCGGUCAGGAGAGCGUUUGAGGAGACGCGGUGAGCCGGACGAGACGAUGGAAACGUUUUAUGUUUUUCUGCUGAUCUCGGCUCUUGGUGUUGCUGUUUCAUCCCAGCCAGACGAUGAAUUCUAUGAUGAUUAUGAUUUUACCCAUUUUUAUCACUUCAAUUACACAGAACUUUGGGGCAUAUCUGACAGUGACUCUGUUUCCUCUACAGGUAAACUCUUUUUGAUCUGCUAACAGAAAUAUAUACAAAUUAUUUUAAUUAGAUUUUAAAUUAAUUUAUUCUUUAUUCUGUUUCUAUGCGUUUCAUAUUCUUAACUUACUGGCCAUGCAUGUCCUGAUCUAAUCUUCAUAAAGUUUUC